rnacentral:rRNA from 1 species
GGCGUGAGACGUGCACGGGGCGGAGGGAAUACGGAGGAUCCAAGCGGUAACCGGAAUCAUGUGGUGUAAAGGGGACGGAGGCGGACUUAUAAGUCAGUGGUGAAAGCCCAUCGCUUAACGAUGGAAGGGGCAUUGAUACUGUAGGGCUUGAAUGUUUGUGAAGUAACGAGAAUAUGUAGUGUAGCGGGGAAAUGCUUAGAUAUUACAUGGAAUACCAAUUGCGAAGGCAGGUUACUAACAAACAAUUGACGCUGAUGGACGAAAGCGUGGGGAGCGAACAGGAUUAGAUACCCCGUAGUC